rnacentral:rRNA from 1 species
AGAGUUUGAUCAUGGCUCAGAAUCAACGCUGGCGGCGCGCUUAACACAUGCAAGUCGCACGAGAAAGUGGAGCAAUCCAUGAGUACAGUGGCGUACGGGUGAGUAACACGUGGAUAAUCUACCCUUUAGUGGGGAAUAACCCUGGGAAACCGGGGCUAAUACCGCAUAAGCCUGGAAAGGGAAAGCAGCAAUGCGCUGAAGGAGGAGUCCGCGGCCGAUUAGCUAGUUGGUAGGGUAAUGGCCUACCAAGGCAAUGAUCGGUAGCCGGCCUGAGAGGGCACACGGCCACACUGGCACUGAAACACGGGCCAGACUCCUACGGGAGGCAGCAGUGGGGAAUCUUGCACAAUGGGGGAAACCCUGAUGCAGCGACGCCGCGUGAGCGAUGAAGCCUUCGGGGUGUAAAGCUCUUUCGGCAGGAACGAUAAUGACGGUACCUGAAGAAGAAGCUGCGGCUAACUACGUGCCAGCAGCCGCGGUAAUACGUAGGCAGCAAGCGUUGUUCGGAGUUACUGGGCGUAAAGAGUGUGUAGGCUGUUCUCUAAGUUUGGUGUGAAAUCUCCCGGCUUAACUGGGAGGGUGCGCCGAAAACUGGAGGGCUUGAGUAUGGGAGAGGAAAGCGGAAUUCCUGGUGUAGCGGUGAAAUGCGUAGAUAUCAGGAGGAACACCUGCGGUGUAGACGGCUUUCUGGACCAUCACUGACGCUGAGACACGAAAGCGUGGGGAGCAAACAGGAUUAGAUACCCUAGUAGUCC